UACGUAGGGCGCAAGCGUUGUCCGGAAUUAUUGGGCGUAAAGAGCUCGUAGGUGGUCUGUUGCGUCCGCUGUGAAAACCUAAGGCUUAACUUUGGGCCUGCAGUGGAUACGGGCAGACUAGAGGUAGGUAGGGGAGAAUGGAAUUCCCGGUGUAGCGGUGAAAUGCGCAGAUAUCGGGAGGAACACCGGUGGCGAAGGCGGUUCUCUGGGCCUUACCUGACACUGAGGAGCGAAAGCGUGGGGAGCGAACAGG
rnacentral:rRNA from 1 species